rnacentral:rRNA from 1 species
GUAGGGCGCGAGCGUUGUCCGGAAUUAUUGGGCGUAAAGGGCUUGUAGGCGGCUGGUCGCGUCUGCCGUGAAAUCCUCUGGCUCAGCUGGGGGCGUGCGGUGGGUACGGGCUGGCUUGAGUGCGGUAGGGGAGGCUGGAACUCCUGGUGUAGCGGUGGAAUGCGCAGAUAUCAGGAGGAACACCGGUGGCGAAGGCGGGUCUCUGGGCCGUUACUGACGCUGAGGAGCGAAAGCGUGGGGAGCGAACAGGAUUAGAUACCCUGGUAGUCCAUGCUGUAAACGUUGGGCACUAGGUGUGGGGGGUCUUUCCGGGUCCUCCGCGCCGUAGCUAACGCUUUAAGUGCCCCGCCUGGGGAGUACGGCCGCAAGGCUA